rnacentral:tRNA from 1 species
ACCAGGAUGGCCGAGAGGUUAAGGCGUUGGACUUAAGAUCCAAUGGGCAAAUGCCCGCGUGGGUUCGACCCCCACUCCUGGUA